rnacentral:rRNA from 1 species
GACGUAGGGCGCGAGCGUUGUCCGGAUUUAUUGGGCGUAAAGAGCGUGUAGGCGGCCAGGUAGGUCUGGUGUGAAAACUCGAGGCUUAACCUCGAGAUGUCAUCGGAAACCAUUUGGCUAGAGUCCGGAAGAGGAGAGUGGAAUUCCUGGUGUAGCGGUGAAAUGCGCAGAUAUCAGGAAGAACACCAAUGGCGAAAGCAGCUCUCUGGGACGGUACUGACGCUGAGACGCGAAAGCGUGGGGAGCGAACAGG